UACGUAGGGUGCAAGCGUUAAUCGGAAUUACUGGGCGUAAAGCGUGCGCAGGCGGUUAUGUAAGACAGGUGUGAAAUCCCAGGGCUUAACCUUGGAACUGCAUUUGUGACUGCAUAGCUAGAGUACGGUAGAGGGGGAUGGAAUUCCGCGUAUAGCAGUGAAAUGCGUAGAUAUGCGGAGGAACACCGAUGGCGAAGGCAAUCCCCUGGACCUGUACUGACGCUCAUGCACGAAAGCGUGGGGAGCAAACAGG
rnacentral:rRNA from 1 species